GUAAUGUCUGGGAAACUGCCUGAUGGAGGGGGAUAACUACUGGAAACGGUGGCUAAUACCGCAUAACGUCGCAAGACCAAAGAGGGGGACCUUCGGGCCUCUUGCCAUCAGAUGUGCCCAGAUGGGAUUAGCUAGUUGGUGAGGUAACGGCUCACCAAGGCGACGAUCCCUAGCUGGUCUGAGAGGAUGACCAGCCACACUGGAACUGAGACACGGUCCAGACUCCUACGGGAGGCAGCAGUGGGGAAUAUUGCACAAUGGGCGCAAGCCUGAUGCAGCCAUGCCGCGUGUAUGAAGAAGGCCUUCGGGUUGUAAAGUACUUUCAGCGGGGAGGAAGGUGUUGUGGUUAAUAACCGCAGCAAUUGACGUUACCCGCAGAAGAAGCACCGGCUAACUCCGUGCCAGCAGCCGCGGUAAUACGGAGGGUGCAAGCGUUAAUCGGAAUUACUGGGCGUAAAGCGCACGCAGGCGGUCUGUCAAGUCGGAUGUGAAAUCCCCGGGCUCAACCUGGGAACUGCAUUCGAAACU
rnacentral:rRNA from 1 species